rnacentral:rRNA from 1 species
GGGUGAGUAACGCGUGGAGAACCUGCCGUAUACUGGGGGAUAACACUUAGAAAUAGGUGCUAAUACCGCAUAAGCGCACAGCUUCGCAUGAAGCAGUGUGAAAAACUCCGGUGGUAUACGAUGGAUCCGCGUCUGAUUAGCUUGUUGGCGGGGUAAAGGCCCACCAAGGCGACGAUCAGUAGCCGGCCUGAGAGGGUGAACGGCCACAUUGGGACUGAGACACGGCCCAAACUCCUACGGGAGGCAGCAGUGGGGAAUAUUGCACAAUGGGGGAAACCCUGAUGCAGCGACGCCGCGUGAGUGAAGAAGUAUUUCGGUAUGUAAAGCUCUAUCAGCAGGGAAGAAAAUGACGGUACCUGACUAAGAAGCCCCGGCUAACUACGUGCCAGCAGCCGCGGUAAUACGUAGGGGGCAAGCGUUAUCCGGAUUUACUGGGUGUAAAGGGAGCGUAGACGGCAGCGCAAGUCUGGAGUGAAAUCCCAUGGCUUAACCAUGGAACUGCUUUGGAAACUGUGCAGCUAGAGUGCAGGAGAGGUAAGCGGAAUUCCUAGUGUAGCGGUGAAAUGCGUAGAUAUUAGGAGGAACACCAGUGGCGAAGGCGGCUUACUGGACUGUAACUGACGUUGAGGCUCGAAAGCGUGGGGAGCAAACAGGAUUAGAUACCCUGGUAGUCCACGCUGUAA